AGCGAACGCUGGCGGCAGGCCUAACACAUGCAAGUCGAACGAACCUUUCGGGGUUAGUGGCGGACGGGUGAGUAACACGUGGGAACGUGCCUUUAGGUUCGGAAUAACUCAGGGAAACUUGUGCUAAUACCGAAUGUGCCCUUCGGGGGAAAGAUUAAUCGCCUUUAGAGCGGCCCGCGUCUGAUUAGCUAGUUGGUUGAGGUAAUGGCUCACCAAGGCGACGAUCAGUAGCUGGUCUGAGAGGAUGAUCAGCCACAUUGGGACUGAGACACGGCCCAAACUCCUACGGGAGGCAGCAGUGGGAAUCUUGCGCAAUGGGCGAAAGCCUGACGCAGCCAUGCCGCGUGAAUGAUGAAGGUCUUAGGAUUGUAAAAUUCUUUCACCGGGGACGAUAAUGACGGUACCCGGAGAAGAAGCCCCGGCUAACUUCGUG
rnacentral:rRNA from 1 species